UCCAGAAGGAACCUUUGCUCCUGAUUGUCCAAACGCAAUUCUUGUCCAGAAAACAUGCAAACCAAGAAUUGUGUCUGGACAUCUGUGGCCAAGUCU